rnacentral:tRNA from 1 species
GGUUCUAUAUUCAAUAAUGAUUUUAAAUUGCAAAUUUGAAGGUGAAAAUUUUUCUAGAGCCU